UGGAGGGUGGGGGAGUGAGAAUGCAGGCAUGAGUAGCGACAAGGCAAGUGAGAACCUUGCCCGCCGAAAGACCAAGGGUUCCUGGGCCAGGCCAGUCCGCCCAGGGUGAGUCGGGACCUAAGGCGAGGCCGACAGGCGUAGUCGAUGGACAACGGGUUGAUAUUCCCGUACCCGUGUGUGGGCGCCCGUGACGAAUCAGCGGUACUAACCACCCAAAACCGGAUCGAUCACUCCCCUUCGGGGGUGUGGAGUUCUGGGGCUGCGUGGGAACUUCGCUGGUAGUAGUCAAGCGAAGGGGUGACGCAGG
rnacentral:rRNA from 1 species